CGGAGCCGCCGUGCCGGAAUUGCGAUAUUGGCCGAAAGGGGCCCUGGGUCUAAUUUGGAAUUUUUUGGGACACGUGCAGGUACCAGUAGUGCGUUUCAGUUCCCCGGAAAAAAUUCAGGAAAAAUUAGGGACAGCCUGUAGGCGCACUGUAGAGCCGUAUUCAGACCCCGAAACAAGUAAGGACCCCUCACCCUAUUUCCUAUCACGGUAUUAAAGUUCAAUAAAUGAUAAAACGGUAUUUCAUGAAUCAAUAGAUGUGUGAAAUUGUUUAAGGUUGCUAAUAGAGCCCCAGUCUGGUGUGUUUGUCGAU
rnacentral:lncRNA from 1 species